rnacentral:tRNA from 1 species
UUUCAUCUUGGCAGAACAUUGCAAUAGAAUUAGAAUCUAUUUAUCCUUUAUCUCUUUCAUUAAUAUU